rnacentral:rRNA from 1 species
CCUACGGGAGGCAGCAGUGGGGGAUAUUGCACAAUGGGGGGAACCCUGAUGCAGCGACGCCGCGUGGGUGAAGGAGUGCUUCGGCAUGUAAAGCCCUAUCGGCAGGGAAGAAGCAAGACGGUACCUGACUAAGAAGCCCCGGCUAACUACGUGCCAGCAGCCGCGGUAAUACGUAGGGGGCGAGCGUUAUCCGGAUUCACUGGGUGUAAAGGGAGCGUAGACGGCCAAGCAAGCCAGGGGUGAAAGCCCGGGGCCCAACCCCGGGACUGCCCUUGGAACUGCAUGGCUGGAGUGCGGGAGGGGCAGGCGGAAUUCCUGGUGUAGCGGUGAAAUGCGUAGAUAUCAGGAGGAACACCGGCGGCGAAGGCGGCCUGCUGGACCGCGACUGACGUUGAGGCUCGAAAGCGUGGGGAGUGAACAGGAUUAGAUACCUGGUAGUC